AAGUCGUAACAAGGUUUCCGUAGGUGAACCUGCGGAAGGAUCAUUACCAAAUCCAAAUUACCCAACCCCAUGUGAACUAUUGUUUGUUGUCCUUGGGGGAAAUGGAGGAAAAAAGGUAAAAAUAAUAUAAAUAUUUUUUAUAUUGAUUUCCUUUUAUUAUUCCUUUCCCCCAAAAGAAUCCGGCACUUUUGUGCUUUGUGAUUCUUGAUAAACUACAGAUUUCUUUUUGUUUUGGAAUGAACUUUUAUUAAAAUUAAUAAAAGACAACUUUUAACGGUGGAUCUCUUGGCUCGUG
rnacentral:misc_RNA from 1 species